UGGAAGUUUGCUGGGGCCCCUUCGGCUGUGGCUCUCGACACCGAUUCCCGUGAAGAUAACCCUGCUUACUUUCUUGAAUAUUCUAUCCAGCACCUGACUCAUUAUAGUAGGCCCUCAAUAAAGAUGGAAUGAAAGAACCCAUAGAGAAAACAUGUGACCCUUGACCUUCUGAGUCUCCGCCUUGUCAUUUUUGACGUUCACCAACUCGUUUCGCUCUGUGCAGAGAGAGAGCAGAAUCGGAUGCACCCACUCUGCCUUCCCUGGGAACAGCACACGAUGGCUUCGUCCUACAGACACCUGACCUUCUUCCUCUAAUAUCAGAGGGGAGCAGUGGAAGUCACGUUUCUUCAUACCCCUGUGGAGAGGGGAUCGGUGACACUGUCCCCACUUCCAGCACAGCUGUGUUCCCAACUGGGACAGAGGAAGCGGGGGGGGCGAGACUCCUGGAGCCACUGGGUUGGAGAGUGGAGCGACCUUCUUCAGCCACUCACCAGCCUGGGUAGGCAGGGUCUCCCAUCACCCUGGGCCCUGCCGUGCUCCGGUAGAUUAAAGCAAUGAUGGCUUUUCUGUAAACAUCA